AUGAAGAACGUAGCGAAAUGCGAUAAGUAAUGUGAAUUGCAGAAUUCAGUGAAUCAUCGAAUCUUUGAACGCACAUUGCGCCCGCCAGUAUUCUGGCGGGCAUGCCUGUUCGAGCGUCAUUUCAACCAUCAAGCCCCCCGGCUUGUGUUGGGGACCUGCGGCUGCCGCAGGCCCUGAAAAGCAGUGGCGGGCUCGCUGUCACACCGAGCGUAGUAGAUCUCAUCUCGCUCAGGGCGUGCUGCGGGUUCCGGCCGUUAAACCACCUUCAUAACCCAAGGUUGACCUCGGAUCAGGUAGGAAGACCCGCUGAACUUAAGCAUAUCAAUAAGCGGAGGA
rnacentral:misc_RNA from 1 species